rnacentral:rRNA from 1 species
GAUGAACGCUGACGGAAUGCUUAGCACAUGCAAGUCGAUGGGGAAGUGGUGCUUGCACCAUGGCAACCAUGGCGGACGGGUGAGUAACGCGUAAGGGACUUACCUGCAGGACUGGGAUAACAGGGGGAAACUCCUGACAAGACCGGAUAAUGUCAUGGAGCUGCAUGGCUUUAUGAUGAAAGGAGACGCCUGCGGAGAGCCUUGCGUCCUAUUAGCUAGUUGGUGAGGUAAUGGCUCACCAAGGCGAAGAUAGGUAGCCGGCCUGAGAGGGUGGACGGCCACAAGGGGACUGAGAUACGGCCCUUACUCCUACGGGAGGCAGCAGUGGGGAAUAUUGGACAAUGGGGGCAACCCUGAUCCAGCAAUUCUGUGUGCACGAAGAAGGUUUUCGGAGUGUAAAGUGCUUUCAGCAGGGAAGAAGUAAGUGACGGUACCUGCAGAAGAAGCGACGGCUAAAUACGUG